rnacentral:rRNA from 1 species
UACGUAGGGUGCAAGCGUUGUCCGGAAUUAUUGGGCGUAAAGAGCUCGUAGGCGGUCUGUCACGUCGGCUGUGAAAUCCCGAGGCUCAACCUCGGGUCUGCAGUCGAUACGGGCAAACUAGAGUAUUGCAGGGGAGACUGGAAUUCCUGGAUGUAGCGGUGAAAUGCGCAGAUAUCAGGAGGAACACCGGUGGCGAAGGCGGGUCUCUGGGCAAUAACUGACGCUGAGGAGCGAAAGCGUGGGGAGCGAACAGG